rnacentral:rRNA from 1 species
UAGGAAUUUUGGACAAUGGGCGAAAGCCUGAUCCAGCAAUGCCGCGUGAGUGAUGAAGGCCUUAGGGUUGUAAAGCUCUUUUACCCGGGAUGAUAAUGACAGUACCGGGAGAAUAAGCCCCGGCUAACUCCGUGCCAGCAGCCGCGGUAAUACGGAGGGGGCUAGCGUUGUUCGGAAUUACUGGGCGUAAAGGGCUCGUAGGCGGCCAACUAAGUCACACGUGAAAUCCCUCGGCUCAACCGGGGAACUGCGUGUGAGACUGGAUGGCUUGAGUUUGGGAGAGGAAUGCGGAAUUCCAGGUGUAGCGGUGAAAUGCGUAGAUAUCUGGAGGAACACCGGUGGCGAAGGCGGCAUCCUGGACCGACAUUGACGCUGAGGAGCGAAAGCUAGGGGAGCAAA